GCUUCCCCGAGGAGCGGCAGCCUCUGCACCACUCGCCAACCUCCGCGCCCGCCCGGCCGAGGUCGAGCCCGCCUGCCCCUCCCGUGCAGCCGGCAGCCGCGCGCCCGGCCGGGCUGGGGUCCGCGGCGGAGUUGGCAUGAAGACUCACCAGGUGGCGCUGUGGGACACUGUGCACCGUUCUUACUCCCGCGAAGCCCACCGGGGCACAGGAGGCAGCCCCGAAACUGGAACCUGGAGCGGUGGCGCCCGGAUUCUGGAUGGAGAAGAGAGGGUGUUUCCAGGAAGAGAGAGAAUAGGGAGAGCCCAGGAAGGAUGGGCAUGUGCACUUCCCCUGACCCGGGAUUCUGAGGAGACAUGCACACUGGGGUCACCCCAGCCACGGGAUUCAGGCGACUGCACAGUCGCAGCGACCCCAGCAGAGGGCCCUGUCCAGCCCUUCAACUGCCUGGAACCUGUCUGCGGAGCGGUCAACCACAGUCCUGCCUGGGCCUGAGCCCUCUCCGGGCUCCGUGGUCCUGGCCGCUGUCGUGCUUGGCUUUGGCUUCAAUGUCCGGCUGUGGCAGAAUGCAUCACGAGACCUCGCCGGCAGCAUUUCCAAGGAGUUUGGGACACAGUGCACCAUGUCUCAGCUGUUCGAAGCUCAGACAGAACUGGACAGGCUGUGGCAAGAUUUCGCAGCAAGUGGCCUCAGUGUGAUUCAACACAAUGAAAAACUGUUGUUCGAGUAAUUCACAUGAACCGUCUUCUGCCAGCUUCAGUUUUGUUCACAAGAAGAUACCCCGUCAAAAAAUAAAUGCAAAGAAUGGUUUCCGACUGUCACUGGGGUAGAAAAAUAGAUGAUUAGAUUCCACUCUGUGGAUGAGAUGUUUCUCCAUUUUCUGAAAAUGCACCAGUCAUGUAUUGUGUUCAACCAAGGGUAGGAUUGAGGCUGGGCCAACUUCUUUGGCUUGAAGCUAAGAUUUGGGCUGAGCCAAAGCCUGCUUCUUCCCCUUAGAGUCUUGCUCCCCUCAUGCACAUUUCUGGACUAGCCUCACUCGUGUGUGUUUCCGCAGCAGAGCCACUGUGUGCUCUCAGCACAUUCACGUUUUAAGUUCCGUAUUCUAAAUUAUCUUUCUUAAUUUGAACAUGUUCAAAAGCUCAGAAAUAAAAGGCUAAGCAUCAGUGUGAAGGCAGUUUUUUAAAAAAUGUUGAGUCAAGUAGAGAAAGAACACGAGUAGAGAAAAAGCAUGAGUAGAAACUGGAGGAAUUGGUUGAGCUAGGGUUUGGGGAAUGUGUUAAUAUGUACAGACAAUUACUUUUGAGGCAGAAGAUAAAGGAUAAAACUAAUCAACAUUUACCGGUGCUGGUGCAUUUGAGG